rnacentral:rRNA from 1 species
GAUGAACGCUGGCGGCGUGCCUAAUACAUGCCAGUCGAGCGAACGGACGAGAAGCUUGCUUCUCUGAUGUUAGCGGCGGACGGGUGAGUAACACGUGGAUAACCUACCUAUAAGACUGGUAUAACUUCGGGAAACCGGAGCUAAUACCGGAUAAUAUUUUGAACCGCAUGGUUCAAAAGUGAAAGACGGUCUUGCUGUCACUUAUAGAUGGAUCCGCGCUGCAUUAGCUAGUUGGUAAGGUAACGGCUUACCAAGGCAACGAUGCAUAGCCGACCUGAGAGAGUGAUCGGCCACACUGGAACUGAGACACGGUCCAGACUCCUACGGGAGGCAGCAGUAGGGAAUCUUCCGCAAUGGGCGAAAGCAUGACGGAGCAACGCCGCGUGAGUGAUGAAGGUCUUCGGAUCGUAAAACUCUGUUAUUAGGGAAGAACAUAUGUGUAAGUAACUGUGCACAUCUUGACGGUACCUAAUCAGAAAGCCACGGCUAACUACGUG